rnacentral:rRNA from 1 species
AGAGUUUGAUCCUGGCUCAGAUUGAACGCUGGCGGUAUGCUUAAGACAUGCAAGUCGUGCGGUAGAAGGCUUCGGCCUUUGAGAGCGGCGGACGGGUGAGUAACACGUGGGAAUCUGCCUAUUAGUGGGGGACAGCCCAGCGAAAGCUGGAUUAAUACCGCAUACGCCCUACGGGGGAAAGCAGCAAUGCGCUAAUAGAUGAGCCCGCGUAAGAUUAGCUAGUUGGUAAGGUAAAGGCUUACCAAGGCGACGAUCUUUAGCUGGUCUGAGAGGAUGGCCAGCCACAUCGGGACUGAGACACGGCCCGGACUCCUACGGGAGGCAGCAGUCGGGAAUAUUGGACAAUGGGCGCAAGCCUGAUCCAGCAAUACCGCGUGUGUGAAGAAGGCCUGCGGGUUGUAAAGCACUUCCAGUUGGGAAGAUAAUGACGUUACCAACAGAAGAAGCACCGGCUAACUCCGUGCCAGCAGCCGCGGUAAUACGGAGGGUGCAAGCGUUAAUCGGAAUUACUGGGCGUAAAGCGUGCGUAGGCGGCCUGUUAAGUCAGAUGUGAAAGCCCCGGGCUUAACCUGGGAACUGCAUCUGAUACUGGGAGGCUAGAAUGUGGGAGAGGAGAGUGGAAUUUCCGGUGUAGCGGUGAAAUGCAUAGAGAUCGGAAGGAACACCAGUGGCGAAGGCGGCUCUCUGGACCAACAUUGACGCUGAGGCACGAAAGCGUGGGUAGCAAACAGGAUUAGAUACCCUGGUAGUCCACGCCGUAAACGAUGUCAACUAGCCGCCGGCCUCACUCUAGAGGUCGGUGGUGCAGCUAACGCAUUAAGUUGACCGCCUGGGGAGUACGGCCGCAAGGUUGAAACUCAAAGGAAUUGACGGGGGCCCGCACAAGCGGUGGAGCAUGUGGUUUAAUUCGAUGCAACGCGAAGAACCUUACCUGGUCUUGACAUGUAGUGAACUUAGCAGAAAUGUUUUGGUGCCUUCGGGAACACUAACACAGGUGCUGCACGGCUGUCGUCAGCUCGUGUCGUGAGAUGUUGGGUUAAGUCCCGCAACGAGCGCAACCCCUGUCACUAGUUGCCAUCAUUCAGUUGGGGACUCUAGUGAGACUGCCUACGCAAGUAGAGAGGAAGGUGGGGAUGACGUCAAAUCAUCACGGCCCUUACGUCUUGGGCCACACACGUAAUACAAUGGCCGGUACAGAGGGCAGCUACACAGCGAUGUGAUGCAAAUCUCGAAAGCCGGUUUCAGUUCGGAUUGGAGUCUGCAACUCGACUCUAUGAAGCUGGAAUCGCUAGUAAUCGCGCAUCAGCCAUGGCGCGGUGAAUACGUUCCCGGGCCUUGUACACACCGCCCGUCAAGCCAUGGAAGCUGGGGGUACCUGAAGUCGGUGACCGUAAAAGGAGCUGCCUAGGGUAAAACUAGUAACUAGGGCUAAGUCGUAACAAGGUAACC